rnacentral:rRNA from 2 species
AGUAACGCGUAAAGAACUUGCCUCACAGUUAGGGACAACAUUUGGAAACGAAUGCUAAUACCUAAUAUUAUGAUAAUAGGGCAUCCUAUAAUUAUGAAAGCUAUAAGCGCUGUGAGAGAGCUUUGCGUCCCAUUAGCUAGUUGGAGAGGUAACGGCUCACCAAGGCGAUGAUGGGUAGCCGGCCUGAGAGGGUGAUCGGCCACAAGGGGACUGAGACACGGCCCUU